rnacentral:lncRNA from 1 species
UACAAAAUUAAAAAUCAGGACGGUGUCCCGUUAAACCAAAAGAACUAAACUGGAUGAAUAUUGUAGGAGAAAAUCUAGAGGAAAGUUUUGAUUUGUGAAAUUGGUUUUCCUGAACAGAUGUACAUUCAUCCUGCAGGAAAGAUUUAUAACUGUCCACCACCAACUGACGAGCUAAUGUUGAGCUUCACAGAUGGAAUUACUCAAACAC